UACGAAGGGGGCUAGCGUUGCUCGGAAUCACUGGGCGUAAAGGGUGCGUAGGCGGGUCUUUAAGUCAGGGGUGAAAUCCUGGAGCUCAACUCCAGAACUGCCUUUGAUACUGAAGAUCUUGAGUUCGGGAGAGGUGAGUGGAACUGCGAGUGUAGAGGUAAAAUUCGUAGAUAUUCGCAAGAACACCAGUGGCGAAGGCGGCUUACUGGUCCGGUUCUGACGCUGAGGCGCGAAAGCGUGGGGAGCAAACAGG
rnacentral:rRNA from 1 species